rfam:Oryza glumipatula chromosome 3, whole genome shotgun sequence.
GAGUUUGUCCCAAGUCAAAGUUUUUAAGUUUGACCAAGUUUACAAAAAAUAUUUAGCAACAUUUUCAACAAAAAAAAUAUUCGAUGAUGGAGUUAAUGAAACUAAUUUUGUAUUGCAGGUGUAUGUUUUUUUUUUUACAAACUUGGUCAAAAUUAAAAGAAGUUUGACUUCAAGACAACCCCA